rnacentral:rRNA from 1 species
AACGAACGCUGGCGGCGCGUCUUAAGCAUGCAAGUCGAACGGCAUGAGGAAGCUUGCUUCCUCAGAGAGUGGCGGACUGGUGAGUAACACGUGGGUGACCUACCCUUGAGAUGGGGAUAGCCAUUAGAAAUAGUGGAUAAUACCGAAUACGCUCUACGGACUCUGGUUUGUAGAGGAAACAGGCUACGGCCUGGCUCGAGGAUGGGCCCGCGUCCCAUUAGCUAGUUGGUGAGGUAAGAGCCCACCAAGGCGACGAUGGGUAUCCGGCCUGAGAGGGUGUACGGACACAUUGGGACUGAGAUACGGCCCAAACUCCUACGGGAGGCAGCAGCUAAGAAUAUUCCGCAAUGGACGAAAGUCUGACGGAGCGACGCCGCGUGGGAUGACGAAGGCCGAAAGGUUGUAAAAUCCUUUUGCUGAUGAAGAAUAAGCGUGGUAGGGAAUGACCGCGUGAUGACAUUAGUCGGUGAAUAAGCCCCGGCUAACUACGUGCC